rnacentral:ncRNA from 1 species
CACCUUCCGUCGUUACUACCGAUUGAUUGGCUUGCUGAGGCCUCUGUAUGAAGCCUGGAGCUGGGGCAGGCCAGCGUAGUGCCGAGACACUGGUUAUGCUUGGUCAUGUACAAGAAGCAAAAAUCGUGACAUGGUGUCCGUAGGUGAACCUGCGGAAG